rnacentral:rRNA from 1 species
UACGUAGGGGGCAAGCGUUGUCCGGAUUUAUUGGCGUAAAGAGCGUGUAGGCGGCCUGAAAGGUCAGCUGUGAAAACUCGAGGCUCAACCUCGAGACGUCGGUUGAAACCAUCUGGCUAGAGUCCGGAAGAGGAGAGUGGAAUUCCCGGUGUAGCGGUGAAAUGCGCAGAUAUCGGGAAGAACACCCGUGGCGAAGGCGGCAUCCUGGACCGGCAUUGACGCUGAGGCGCGAAAGCUAGGGGAGCAACGGG